rnacentral:lncRNA from 1 species
GCAACUAUAAGCAUUAAAAACAAAAUAAAAUAAACAACUUAAAUCCAUCAAACAUAAUCAAAUGAGAGAUAAAUAAAUCAUAUUACAUAUUGAGCUCAAUCAUAAUCUUAGAUAAAAAGUUUAUUUCCCUAUAAAGUCACACAUCAUCAUUGAAUAAAGUUUAAACAUUAAAAACAAAACUAAGAGAAUAAGAGAAUAAAAAAGAUAGAAAAACUCAAGAAUUGUAUUCUUUAUCUCCAAAUCUCCUUGAAUCCUUCAAAUUCUUCUUAGCUUCAAUGAAUCUAUGGCUUGAAUCUUAGCUGUCAAUCUAGUGUUUC